ACGAGCCACAUGCGAAGAAACUUGCACGUGUGGUUCUGACCGGGGGGGAAAAGCACCCUAUCGGAAU
rnacentral:ncRNA from 1 species